UACGGAGGGUGCAAGCGUUAUCCGGAUUUACUGGGUUUAAAGGGUGUGUAGGCGGGCUUUUAAGUCAGUGGUGAAAUCUCCGGGCUCAACCCGGAAACUGCCAUUGAUACUAUUAGUCUUGAAUUUUGUUGAGGUAGGCGGAAUAAGUCAUGUAGCGGUGAAAAUGCUUAGAUAUGACUUAGAACACCAAUUGCGAAGGCAGCUUGCUAAACAAAUAUUGACGCUGAGGCACGAAAGCGUGGGGAUCAAACAGG
rnacentral:rRNA from 1 species